GGCGCUGUGGCUUGUGAAGGCAGCGUUUUUUCUCUCCAGAAGGGAGUUUCUGCCUCUUCCACCUCAAUUAGGAUUGUCUUUUGUUGCAGGAGUUCCUCUUAUCCAGUUUUCAGUUCUGUCUCAGGGGUAAAUUUUCCAUGAGUAGUUGUAAAUUGGCUGUGUCCACGGGAGGAGGUGAGUUCAGAGUCUGCCUGCGCCGCCAUCUUGACCCUGAGGGCUCCUUUAUGUUCACUCUCUUUUUCAUUUCUUCAGUUCUUCCAGUCCAGUGAGUCUUCCAGUUGCCACCACCUCUGUGGGCCCAGUUAUCAGGCCUGCCCAGGCUUCUGUGGCACAGGCUGGGUAUGAGGUAUAGUACAGGAAAGAAGAGGAAGCCAGCAUUGGACCAAGUGCCAGGAGAACUUACCCAGUGUGGUCCCUGGGGGAGGGGACAAUAGUCCCAAUUACAGGGUCCAGGGAGUUGGCUGGAUUGGGUUCAAUCUGGCUGCUCUUGAUAAGUGGAAGGAAGCUGGUGUUUACUGAGGACCUAUAUGCCCUAGGCCCUUUUCACAUGUCAUCUCAUUUAAGUUUCAAACAAAUGAAUAAGGUAGAUAUUUUAGAGUUCAGGAAACUGAAGUUCAGAGAGACUUAAAUGACUUGCUCAAGGUCGUUUGAUAUCUCUGAUGGCAGAGAUGGUGGUGAAGAGUGAGUGCUGUAGCAGGUAUCACUAGUUUGCUAAUAAAUAGUCAUUCUCCCUUCUUCCUUAGUAAGAGAACCCCAAGUUUUAGCCAGGCUUGUUGCAGCAUGGAAUACAACUAUUUAUCUUUAUUUCCAGUGCAACUAGGUACAGCAAGGUGACCAAACUCUACCAAUGAGAUGUAAGUGGAAGUGUUGUAUAGGACUGCCUGGAAGUUUCUUUAAAAAAAAAAAAAGGUGAUGAGGUUUCUUCUUUGUUUCUUCCAUCCUGCUGUCUGGAAUGUGGACGUAAUGGCUGGAGCUCUAGCUGCUAUCUGGACCAUAAAUGAUUUUGAGAAUGAUGAUCAUGCACCAGGAUCGGGGAGGGAAGAUGAGAGCUUGAGUAUAAGAUGGUGCUUUGCCCAUCAUUUCAGCCCUGGAUUGCUUAACUCCAGAUGUCUUAUGUGUAAGAGACAUAAAUUCUUUCUCUUUUCUAAGAAUUUAAGCCAUUCUCUUGUGGGGUUUUUCUGCUGUAUCUAGCUGAACCUUGUCCUAACUGGUAUGAAUGGUAACUCCAUUUGGCAGGAAAAGUCAUUUCCUACUUGGAAUAUAGGACCUUAAAUGGAUCUCCAUUGCACAUAAAUAUGAAUAUAAUGUAGUUAUUUUUUUUUAAAUAACACCAUUAAACUCCACAUCUCCCUUCUAGCAGCAGUACUUAAGAAAUGGCUCACGGCCUUUCUGUUUAACCACUUCAUUGCCAGUAUUGUUGUGGAACACACACAAACAUGCUUUUAACUGACACUCCUUUGGUUGACAGGUAUUAAACUUCUUACAUUCGCAGUUGCUGUCAGGGAUGCAAAUCUUUAGUCUCCAGUUCCUACAUCCUCUAGUUCCCUGCAGCCUCAUAAAAAAUUGCAGCUUCUACCCAGUUGUAUUUUAAAAGAAAACUUACCGUUUUUUUUGCACAUCUUUUAGGAAAAGGCUUAUUCUCGGACUGAAAGGAAGAUUUCAACUCAGCUGGGGUGAGUGACUGGAUCUCUAACCUGUGGCGUUUUUGUUCUGAGGACACUUCACAACCAAAAUGAACAGUGCAGUAGAGCAAAUACAGAUCAGACCCAGGGAGCCAUUGGAAUGAAUGUUUACAUCUGACUCUUUGAUUACAAUGAGCAAUGUGGCCUAGCUGGGAAAUGCUGUGUUUUCACAAUUGACAGACCAAGCAGCCUGCAGCAAUCAGCAAAAGGCAGCUUAUUUUGAGCAAAAACAUCCAUCAGACUGUGAUGAGAAAAGCAGAGCUGCAAUCAGUGGCAGGUUCUUCGAAGAGCUGCUGAUGAAAAAUGGCUUUUACACAUAUCAAGUGGAGAAGAAACUGCUGUUCAUUGUUUUUAGCCUCAUUUGCAUGCAUGGACAACAACACUAGAAACUUUUUUGACAUGAAAGAGAGUGAUACAAUAGUUCUAUCAUGAGUGGGACUUUUCUGUCCUCAUCAUAAAAUAGUAUACCCAGUCUGUGGUAGGAAUAUAUUAGGUUUUAAAGAGGCAAGAUAAUAAGCAAUUUCAAAGGAAGAUCUUACAUUCAUUCCAAAUGUUUUAUGCAGAUGUAUUGUUUUCACUGGUAUUAUAAUAGAAGAAUUCUGUUGAUGUAACCAAUAGGAUGGAGAUUUUUGAUAAGAUUUCUAGUCUUAUCUAUAGUAGCACUAUUCCAUAUGACUAAAAAAUUAGAACUAUUUAGCUCUGUGAAUUCUUCCACUGAACGAUAUAUCAUGAAACUCUGUGGAUUCAAAGUUUGUGAUCUGAAAUGAAAGAACAGGUUGUUCAGCAGUGCCCAAGACCUGAGCUUAGGCAAGGAGAUAGCAGGCAUGUCAUCCCCUCACAAACCAAGAAAAGUGGAGUUGAAGAGAAUACCUCACAGGAUUUGGGGGUGCCUGGAAGAGGAUGACGUUGGUAUCUCAAUCCUGGAUUAGAAGCCUUGGCAGCCUUGCACAUCUGCUCCACAAUUAUGUAAGCACUGAUGGGGCAAACAGAGCAACCACAAGGCAGAGAGGGAGCAGCAGGUGAGGAGGACCGCCCACCACAGAGAGAACUUUUUUGGCUGAGGGAAGACUACAACUGCACAAGGUAGAAACAGACCCUGAGGUGGAGAUUUGUGUGCAGAGAGCUUGUCGUGGAAUGCUCUUGGCGACACGUCCUUGAGAGGAUGAAGAAGCCAGGAUUGAGCAGAGGAAGAAAUGGAACAAUGAUACAGUUGCAGCAAAGGCCUCGGCCAAUUACAGCCUUGAUCAGAAUCAAUUACCCCUGCCAGAAUGGUGACUCCUUUCCUUGCCUGCAAAGACUGGGCAGCAGAUGUAGCUUAAAAUUUAA